GCCUGCCUCAAGAUGAGAUUUCCCAAUUCGUAAGACCCCUUGAAGAACACGAGGUUGAUAGGCUCGGGGUGGAAGCGCGGUAACGUGUGGAGCUGACGAGUACUAAUCGGUCGAGGGCUUAUCCUAAA
rnacentral:rRNA from 1 species